UUUAACUACAAAUACCACAGUAAAGUACAGUCACUGUAGUAAAAACAUAGUAAGAAUCAAGGUUAUUGUGCUUUUACUACAAAUACCACAGUAAAACUAUGGCUACUGAGGUAAACCCAUAGUAAGCAUUGAGGUUACUGUGCUUUAACUACAAAUACCACAGUAAAGUACAGUCACUGUAGUAAAAACAUAGUAAGAAUCAAGGUUAUUGUGCUUUUACUACAAAUACCACAGUAAAAGUACAGUUACUGAAGUAAACCCAUAGUAAGCAUUGAGGUUACUGUGCUUUAACUACAAAUACCACAGUAAAGUACAGUCACUGUAGUAAAAACAUAGUAAGAAUCAAGGUUGUUGUGCUUUUACUACAAAUACCACAGUAAAACUACAGUUACUGAGGUAAACCCAUAGUAAGCAUUGAGGUUACUGUGCUUUAACUACAAAUACCACAGUAAAGUACAGUCACUGUAGUAAAAACAUAGUAAGAAUCAAGGUUGUUGUGCUUUUACUACAAAUACCA